CGGCCGCGUCGACAGAAGACUCCAUGGUUAAUACCCAUGGACGAUGACAUUAGCUGCAGAAUAAGCACCGGCUAACUACGUGCCAGCAGCCGCGGUAAUACGUAGGGUGCAAGCGUUAAUCGGAAUUACUGGGCGUAAAGCGUGCGCAGGCGGUUCUGUAAGAUGGGUGUGAAAGCCCCGGGCUCAACCUGGGAAUUGCAUUCAUGACUGCAGGACUAGAGUUCACCAGAGGGGGGUGGAAUUCCAAGUGUAGCAGUGAAAUGCGUAGAUAUUUGGAAGAACACCGAUGGCGAAGGCACGCCCCCUGGGGUGCGACUGACGCUCAUGCACGAAA
rnacentral:rRNA from 1 species